rnacentral:ncRNA from 2 species
CAGUGGGCUGAAGCCCACUGCUAUUAUAUUCCGCCGCUGCGCGGCU